rnacentral:rRNA from 1 species
CAUGGUGGGGGGUGGAAAGCUUUUUGUGGUUUUGGAUGGACUCGCGGCCUAUCAGCUUGUUGGUGAGGUAAUGGCUCACCAAGGCGACGACGGGUAGCCGGCCUGAGAGGGUGACCGGCCACACUGGGACUGAGACACGGCCCAGACUCCUACGGGAGGCAGCAGUGGGGAAUAUUGCACAAUGGGCGGAAGCCUGAUGCAGCGACGCCGCGUGAGGGAUGACGGCCUUCGGGUUGUAAACCUCUUUCAGUAGGGAAGAAGCGAAAGUGACGGUACCUGCAGAAGAAGCGCCGGCUAACUACGUGCCAGCAGCCGCGGUAAUACGUAGGGCGCAAGCGUUAUCCGGAAUUAUUGGGCGUAAAGAGCUCGUAGGCGGUUUGUCGCGUCUGCCGUGAAAGUCCGGGGCUCAACUCCGGAUCUGCGGUGGGUACGGGCAGACUAGAGUGAUGUAGGGGAGACUGGAAUUCCUGGUGUAGCGGUGAAAUGCGCAGAUAUCAGGAGGAACACCGAUGGCGAAGGCAGGUCUCUGGGCAUUAACUGAC